CUGACUAUUGUUUGUGCAUAUGCACCAAUCAGCAGUUCAGAGUACCCAGCCUUCUUGGAGACUCUAGGAAGGGGUGUGAGAGAG